UCCCGAGUCGUCUAGGGGUUAUGGCACUUCACUUGUAAUGAAGGGGUCGGCAGUUCGAAUCUGUCCUCGGGAA